rnacentral:rRNA from 1 species
GACGGGUGAGUACACGUGGGAACGUGCCUUAUGGUUCGGAAUAACUCAGGGAAACUUGAGCUAAUACCGAAUGUGCCUUCGGGGGAAAGAUUUAUCGCCUUUAGAGCGGCCCGCGUCUGAUUAGCUAGUUGGUGAGGUAAAGGCUCACCAAGGCGACGAUCAGUAGCUGGUCUGAGAGGAUGAUCAGCCACAUUGGGACUGAGACACGGCCCAAACUCCUACGGGAGGCAGCAGUGGGGAAUCUUGCGCAAUGGGCGAAAGCCUGACGCAGCCAUGCCGCGUGAAUGAUGAAGGUCUUAGGAUUGUAAAAUUCUUUCACCGGGGACGAUAAUGACGGUACCCGGAGAAGAAGCCCCGGCUAACUUCGUGCCAGCAGCCGCGGUAAUACGAAGGGGGCUAGCGUUGCUCGGAAUUACUGGGCGUAAAGGGAGCGUAGGCGGACAUUUAAGUCAGGGGUGAAAUCCCGGGGCUCAACCUCGGAAUUGCCUUUGAUACUGGGUGUCUUGAGUGUGAGAGAGGUAUGUGGAACUCCGAGUGUAGAGGUGAAAUUCGUAGAUAUUCGGAAGAACACCAGUGGCGAAGGCGACAUACUGGCUCAUUACUGACGCUGAGGCUCGAAAGCGUGGGGAGCAAACAGGAUUAGAUACCCUGGUAGUCCACGCCGUAAACGAUGAUUGCUAGUUGUCGGGAUGCAUGCA